rnacentral:rRNA from 1 species
CUGGGAUAACUCCGGGAAACCGGGGCUAAUACCGGAUAACAUUUUGAACCGCAUGGUUCGAAAUUGAAAGGCGGCUUCGGCUGUCACUUAUGGAUGGACCCGCGUCGCAUUAGCUAGUUGGUGAGGUAACGGCUCACCAAGGCAACGAUGCGUAGCCGACCUGAGAGGGUGAUCGGCCACACUGGGACUGAGACACGGCCCAGACUCCUACGGGAGGCAGCAGUAGGGAAUCUUCCGCAAUGGACGAAAGUCUGACGGAGCAACGCCGCGUGAGUGAUGAAGGCUCUCGCGUCGCAAAACUCUGUUGUUAGGGAAGAACAAGUGCUAGUUGAAUAAGCUGGCACCUUGACGGUACCUAACCAGAAAGCCACGGCUAACUACGUGCCAGCAGCCGCGGUAAUACGUAGGUGGCAAGCGUUAUCCGGAAUUAUUGGGCGUAAAGCGCGCGCAGGUGGUUUCUUAAGUCUGAUGUGAAAGCCCACGGCUCAACCGUGGAGGGUCAUUGGAAACUGGGAGACUUGAGUGCAGAAG